rnacentral:misc_RNA from 1 species
AAAAAACCCAAGCAGCACAAAGAAUGCUAGUACACCUAUACAAUAAUAAAAUGGUAUAGGAUGUUUUGACAGGAUUCGAUCCCAACCAUCACUGAAUGAAUUCCGAAAGGCGCCAUCUUUAUCCAUAAGGUAUGCAAAGCCACCCAUUGCAGCAAUCAUAGUUUGCACAGCCAGAAAUACAAUGAUAACAUCUCUUGUAACAAAAAGUCUGAAUUUAACUUUACGCCAUGAGUUGUCCUCAAAUAAUGCAACUCGAAGAUGAAAUUGGGCCUU